AUGGAGUCUUUGCUUUCAGUACUUGCUUAUGCCUUCUUCUUCUUCCUUGUCCUAGCUGUGUUCCGACGCAUCUGCCGUGUGCCGGCGCGGGUGAUCCCUCAGCCGAUCAUCGAGAUCAGCGAUGCUGCCGUCACCAGGCGCGCACUGGUUGAGUACGCCGACGCUUUCUCCAACCGCCCAAUGUCCAUGUUCCGCGUCCCUAUCGUCAAAGGUCACCGCCGCCGACGGAGCGACAACAUAAUCUCCGUGCCAUACGGCCCGCUAUGGCGCACCCUGCGGUGCAACCUCGCCGCGGAGACCAUCCACCCCACGCGCUACGCUUCCUAUGCACCCCUGCGACGGGCGGCCAUCGACGACAUCGUCGCUAGCGUCCAGUCAGCCGCAAGAAAGGGCAGGGCGGUGGUCGUCCGUGACGGCCUCUAUGCCGCCGUGUUCUCUAUGAUUGCACGCAUGUGCUUUGGAGACGGCCUGGUCGACGAGGCCGACGUGCGGGCCAUGCAGUGCGAGUUCCGGGAGUUCAUCCUCGCCGCCGUGGAAUCCACCUCCACGUGCGAGUCUAAGCUCUUGGGAUACUGGAGGAGACGGCAAAGCGAUCCUAUCGCCUUGCGCCACCGGCUGGCGGAGCUUUUCCUCCCUCUCAUCGAGGAGGCACGGCGGCAGUCGUCACGAUUCUGCGACGGCCACGCCCGUUCAUACGUCGAUUCGCUCAUCCAUCUCCGCGUUCCAGACGAAGACGACGACAAUGACGAGCAUCUCCGCCGAGCCCUCACGGAAGACGAGAUGGUGAGCCUCGUGUUAGAAUUCCUCGGCGCCGGCACGGAGACUGUUGUGGCUUGCGUCGAGUGGACCCUCGCUCACCUAGUCACCCGACCGGAGAUCCAGAACAAACUGCGUCGCGAGGCCAUCAUCAACAUCAAGUACGACGGUGACAACAAGUAUCCCUCCGAGGACGAGGAGAGAGAGAUACUCCACCGCGGCAUGGCGCCGUACCUCCACGCCGUGGUGCUCGAGAGCCUCCGCAUGCACCCACCGGCGCCGUUCGUCGUGCGCGACGUCCGCGCCGAGGGAGGAGUGGUCGGCCAAACGGCCAUGCCGGCAGGCGGUUUGCGUGUGCACUUCGUCUUGGGGGACAUCGGGAGGGACCCCAAGACAUGGACGGAUCCCGACGAGUUCCGGCCGGAGAGGUUCCUUGCCGGAGGAGAGGGAGAGGCCGUUGGGCCUCUGCCGGGGCCCAAGGAGAUCAAGAUGAUGCCGUUCGGCGCAGGGCGGAGGUACUGCCCAGGCAUGGCGCUGGGGAUGCUCAAUGUCAAGUGCUUGCUGGCAGCGCUGGUGCGCGAGUUCGAGUGGACCGAGGGAAAUUGUGGCGUCGACCUCACGGAACACGACGGGUUCUUCAAAGCGAUGAAGAAGCCACUUCGUGCUCGUGUCACUCCAUGGAGUCCCUUUGUUUAA
rnacentral:rRNA from 1 species